ACUGAUGCUUUAUCAGAUAACUCUUACCCAACCACAAUCCCAUUAGGUAAUGCACAGUUACACUGAAAAUAUUUAGCAAUAAUUUCAUAUUUUUGUCUAAUAUACAACUUAUAUUCAAGUUUACAAGAUUGGCAAAAAACCAAUCAGUCUUCCUGAGGGGAAUUAAAUACAGAGCCUUUCCAGUGAGCUCCAUCCCAGGCCCGUUUUUGCUUUUCAUUUUGAAACUAGGUCUCAUUAUGCCAUUAAAUUGCCCAGGCUGGCCUCAAACUUGCAGUCCUCUACCUCAGCUUCCCUAAGUGCUUCUAAGUGCACCAGCACACAUGGCUCAGCAGGGUUGCGUUUAAACUGGGUCUUUUUUAAUUUUAAUUUCUUUUUUUGAGACAGAGUCACACUGUGUUGCUCAGGCUGGUCUUAAACAUACAGAGUCUCCUGCCUCAGCCUGCUGAGUAGCAGGGAUUACAAAUGUGUGCCACUGAACCCACCUCCUUAAACUGGGACUUCAUAGUUUAUCCAGGAGAAAAAGGAGGGGGAAAGGGAGGAAAGCCAUUCUAGUAAAGGCAGAAAAAAAAGUUACAAUACUUUAGAGAAAGGCAAACUUUACCCCAGGGCUGGGGACAGGGACUUAGGAGGUGCGGAGGCCAUGAAGCCCGAAGGUGGCCAGAGGCAAAUGAUAAGGAACGCCAAGCAGGGCCCCUGUAGGCAGCGAGAAGCCCUCACCAGUUGCUAAGCAAAGGAGUGACAGGGUCCCUGUGCAAGUGGUCUUUCUAGAUGUCUAAGCUGUUUGCCUGUCACACAGGAUGCCAACAACUGAAAUGACCAAUGAGGCGAAAGAGGAAGAACGUAUUCACACAGCCGUGCGUGGAGGCAGGAGGGAUUUUUGAGAGGGAGGAAACAAAGUUACCAGUGCCUUGAAAGGGGACUUGCUGUGUUGCCCAGGCUGGAAUUGAACUUGAAGUCCUCCUGCUGGAACCUCCCAACUAGCUGGGAUUCUGUGUAGACAAGGGCCACCUCCUCCAGCUGCAUUCUUUUGGACUCCCCAUUGGAUCAAACUCACAACCUCAUGCUUACCAGGGAUCCCAGGCCUGUGCUCCCGCCAGUCUGAGCCCUCUACUCUGGAGGCCGCCUGCACACUGAGAUGAGGAGACCAAAUUGCUCCAGGAAAUGCAUCGCAAUCCCUGGGACCUGUCACUGCCACCUCACAGAUAAAAGGACUUCGCAGCCCCAAUUAAGGUUAUGUAACUUCAAACAAGAAGAUCAACAGGAUUAUUCAGAUGAGAUCAGUCUUACAAGCCUUGAAAAGCAGACAACUUUCAUAGCUAGAAGCAAGAGUGACUGGCAAAGACGUCCCAGGCCCAGCAUGUGCGGCUGCCUGAGGCCGAGUCUGCUCCAACCUGGGAAGGAGACUGGGAAGCCAGUGGCCUCUUGCUCCCAACAGCAGGAAGUGGGAACACCAGCUCCACGAUGGCCAGUUGCUGGAUUCUGCCACCACCCGGAAUGGGCAUUCAGAAUCCAACCUACUGACACCUUGAUUUCACCCUCACGAGUCUGGGGCCAAAGCAUUCAGCUGAGUCAAACUGGAUUUCUGAAUGACAGAGAGUAAGAUAACAAACUUGUGUUAAGUCUUUUUAUUUUUGAUAGGGCCAUAGGGCAGUGGCAGAGCACAAACCUGGCAUGCAUGAGACCUUGGGUUUGUUCCCUAGUUCCAGGGGGAAGAAAAUUAUACUUGUAAUUUGUUUGGACAACAGAAAACCAAUACAACAUCUAAACUACAAAGCUCAUGUCAGAUUUCACUUCACAUUUUCUAAUGACUCUUUUUUUGUUGUUGUUUGUUUGUUUUGGUUUUGAUUCUGUAAGAUAGGAUUCACUGUUCACGAUGUAGCCCAUGCCGGCCUUGAACUCACAGCCGUCCCUGCCUGAGCCUCCUGAAUGCUGGAAUUACUGGGAUGUGCCACCUCCUAAUGACCUUUUAUGGCCUAAAACAAGGCAGAGUUUAAACUCCUUAGUGUGGCAGGAACAACUCCCAUGACUCAAUCUCCAACUCUUUUGAGACCUGAGCCUCCCUUCCUGCCCUGAGUAUGAUUUCUUGUUCUUUUGGAGUACACUCAGGGCAGGGACCAUCUUCACAGGAGGAGCCUCCUGCUAAGUCCUCCUCAGUACCUGGAUAGUUGUGAAUAGUACUGUCAUAGUGCAGCAUUACUGUGACAGUGACGGCAUGCACAGUGACACUUAGAGAGUAUUGCAAAGAACCGUGUGUGUGUGUGUGUGUGUGUGUGUGUGUGUGUGUGUGUGUGUUUUCGUCUUAGGCUCUAACUUCCUUGAGGACUGGAUCAAUUCUUAGUCAUGUUUUUUUUCCUCACUGCCCUACACACAGUGGAUACUCAAAAAAAAAAAAAAUGUUACUUAUGUGUCCUAUUUGGAAGAAAAUGCUUUGGCAACUGAAAAAGGAGUUCAUCCCUGUACAAGGAGAUCAGAUCGGAAGGCUGUGCGUGCGUCAUUUCUUGCCGAGGAGGACAGGGUUUGGCUUGUACCCCAGCAGUGUUCCCCUGGAACUGGCCUGUGGAGAGGCCCUCCAGCUCUGAUCAAGCUGCUCUCCUCCGACAGCAAGCAUUUCAUAGAACACAACUGCUGACCUCUGAGGCAGAAAGAACCUCCUUCCUUGAAAACCUGUGCAUCAGCAGGAGCUCCUCAGCAGCCACCCAUGUCACCCUUGCCACUGACUACUCUUUAGGGGGCUUUUGAGGUAAGAAGGCUGCUAACCUGGGACGGCUCUGCUCAUGUGCCGGAGGUUCCAGCCCAGCGCCGAGCUGGGAUGCAAAUUUUCCCAACUAAUACAAGCUGAUGAGCACAGAGGCACUGGCUUUUCCUCUUAGACUGACUCAUGUGAAGGACACAUCUUCACAGACUGCAUUAAAUACUCAUUCCUCAAGAUGGCUUUCUUUGGGGGGAAAAUGCAUUCUGUAUCCAUUCACCUCUUCCUUCUUUCCUUCCUUCCUUAACAAUUAUGUAAUGCUCCUAUAACACCUUUUUUUAAGUACUGAAGGUUAAAUUUACGGCUUUCACACUGAGCUACAUCUCAGCACCCUCCACUCUCUUUUGAGGCAGGGUCUCACUGAGUUGCCCGGGCUGUUUGAACUCGUAGUCCUCCUGCCUCAGUCUCCCAGAAUCCUUGGAUUACAAGUGUGCACCACCACGCCCAGGUUAUAUCACCAGUGAGGCAAUGGCAGGAUUCACAGUGUCUGCAAAAGCGCUAAAAACCAAGCAAACCCUCAGAAACACUGCUCAGAUGAAGGGCUCCUGCCACGUCUGAGGGAUGCUAACAUGACGACAGCUAACCCUCCUUUCAAAUGUUGGUUUCAAGCAGAAGUAACACUUGCUUUUUUUCCUUUAUGCUUUAUUUCUGUUUGAUUUUUUAUUCCUGCACAGGUUUAGGAGUUUAACAGGCAUAGAAAAUUUUGUACUUUUAACUGAAAAUGAAAAUUACAUUUCAGUUUUACAGCAUCUAUAUCGAGAGCCAAACAUUCACCAUUAGCUAAGAGUGACAAUGCUGAACUGAUAAUCCUCUGCACUCUCUCUCCCUGACCUUGUCCUUUCUAUAAAUGAGUACACAGACAAGCCAGAGCGCGGAGCCUUGGAGAUGACGCUCAAACAUCAGGCACCACCGUGACGGCGUCCGCUUUUCCACCCGCUCUACCUGCUGCAACCAGCAUGCAUCACCGACACCAACUGGGCUCCCGUCAGGAAACGGUACAAAUACCCACAUUUUGUCUAGACUUGUAAACAUCGUCAUCAACAUUCAAAUGUGUAAAAGUUUGAGCAGUACCCUGAGUCAGAUAACAUGAAAAACAGUUCUCAUUCCUUCCAGCAGAAAAUCCAGUCUUCUUUUCCAGGCCCAAAAGGUUUCCUUGCCAUUUGCCCUUCAUCCUCUUCUUCCCUCUGUGUUCUUGACUCUCUCAUUUCCAGGAAAGUCGUGGUCUCCCACUGUGCUCUGGUCUGGUUUGGCUCUCUUUGGUGCUGGCGUCAAACCCCAAGGCCACAUGCAUGCCAGGCAAGCCCUCCACCACGAGCUAACUCCACAGCCUCAUCUACUACUUGUUCCCUUUUUUGUUUAACUCAUUGUAUUAGUACAUGUUUGCAGCACAUAAUGGUUAUGUCCAUCAUGGGGAGUUGGUCUAGGUGCUGGGGAUUGAAUUCAUGACCUCACACUUGCCAGGCAGGCACUUGUGCUGCUGAGCUACAUCGCCAGCCCUCAAAACACAUCUCCACUCAUUUUGCCUUCCUUUCCUCUCCUGUCCCCUACCUCCUUCCAUUUCUGGGUCUUGUCUACCACUUUUGAAGUUUUUCUUCUUUUCCCUUUAUUUGUCCAAAUCAGCCCAUAUCCCUGAAGUCUCAAUUUUUCCAUGAAGCUAUUCCUUCCUUUUCUGAACUUUUAAACAGUUUAUCAGAAUGCAAACAAUUUAGUCGUAAACAAAUGUGAUGACUGUGGGUUUUUGGGUUUUGUUUUGUUUUUUGAUUCUGGGGAUUCAAUCAGGACCUUCCUAUAGAGCUAGUUACCCAGUCAUUUUUUUAAAAAUCCAUUUUAUUCAAAGAUAAAAAUAAAGAAAAAAAGAGGAAAGGAAAAAACUACAAAACGUCAAAGCACACCAAUCAGGGGGCAACAAUAGUACAUAUACUGCACAUUGCUAGCCCCAAAUCAUUUGCCCAGAGCACAAGACAUCUACAUUCAAUUGUCUGAAUGAAAGCAGCACAAACCUUUCUCUUCAGCAAACUCAGAGAAAUCAGUAGUAUAAGUAUCCUAACUUAUAUAUAUAUACAUAUAUAUAUAUAUGUAUGUAUAUAUAUAUGUAUGUAUAUAUAUAUUGUCUUUUUCCUUUUUAUCCAGCCUAAUACUUAUAUAUUUUAACAUAUAUAUAUAUAUAUAUACAUACACAUAUACAUGUUUUUUCUUUCACCUUGUCACACUAAUGAAACAAUACAGUGUUUACAUAUGUGUGUCUUAUUUCACUAAUGAGUACGUACUCAAGGUGCAUCUAUUUACCUAUGAAAGUCUUCAAAUUAUCCUUCUGUAUGGCUGAGUAGUAUUCCAUUGUAAAAAAAAAAAAAAACCACAUCUUUUUUAUCCAUUCCUCAGUCUAUGGGCAUUCAGAUUGUUUCCAAGAUCUAUUAUAAACUGUGCUGCUAUUAACAUAGGUGCACAAAUAUCACUGUGGUAUGUUUUUAAUUCUUUUGGGAAGAUAUGCAGAAGGAAAUAGGAACCUUCAACCCUAGUUUUCCGAGGAAUCUCCAAACUGAUUUCCACAGUGGUUGCACCAGUCUGAAUUCCCACCAACAGUGGAGAAAGUUCCACUUUCCCCACAACCCCUCCAAGCAUUUCUUAUUGCUUGAUUUCUUGAUAGUAGCCUUUCUUUAGAGUGGGAGGUAGAAUCUCAGUGUUGUUUUAAUUUGCAUCUCUUGAAUGACCAGUGAUGUUAAGCUACAUUUUUUCAUACAUUUAUUUGCUGUUUGUAUUUCUUCAUCUGAGAAGUAUGUAUUCAUCUCAGAUGCCCAUUUUUGGAUUGGGUCAUUAAAUCUGGGAGGACUGACUUUUUUGAGUUCUAUAUGUUCUUGAUGGUAAUCCUUUGUCUGAGGAACACCUGGCAAACACUUUCUCCCAUGUCAUGGGUUGUCUCUUUACUCUGGUGGAGGCUUCUCUUACUGUACAAAAGCUUUUCAAAAAGGAAAAAAAAAGCUUUUCAGUAGGGUGAGAUCCCAGUUGUUGAUUCUUUGUGAUAGUUCCUAUGCAAUCAGAGUUUUGUUCAUAAAGUCUUUGCCUACUUUAUCUUCCAGCAGAUUUAAUGUUUCUAUUUUAAUAUGAAGAUCUUUGAUCCAUUCUGAUUGUAGCUUAGUGAAAGAUAUGGGUCCAGUUUUAAUCUUCAGCAUGUAUACAGCCAGUUUCCUAGCACUGUUUAUUAUAUUUAUUUAUUUAUUUAUUUAUUUUGUCUUUUUCUUUUUUAUGGGUACCGGGGAUAGAACUCACGACUGCCUGCUUGCAAGGCAGGCGCUUAUGCUGCUGAGCUAAAUCUCCAACCCCUUUUUUUUUGUCUCCAGCACUGUUUAUUAAAGAGACUAUGUUUCUUCUACUGAGUGUGCGUGGCACAUUUGUCAAAGAUAAGGUGGCUGAGUGUGUCUGCAGUUGUUUCUGCUUCUUUUUUUUUUUUUUUUUUUUGUCUUUUUCCUUUUUACCGGUACCAGGGAUCGAACUCAUGACUGCCUGCUUGCAAGGCAGGUGCUUAUGCCGCUGAGCUAAAUCCCCAGCCCCUGUUUCUGCAUCUUCUAAUCAUUCCACUGAUUUUCAGGUCUGUUUUUUUUUGCCAGGUCCACACUGUUUUUUAUCACAGUAGCUUUAUAGUAUAAUUUCAAGUCAGGGAUUGUGAUACCCCCUGUCUUGUCUUUGUUGCCCAGGAUUGAUUUUGCUCUGUUAGGUGUCUUCUGGUUCCAGAUGAAUUUUAGGAUUGUUUUCUCUAAUUUUAUGAGAUAUGCUAUUGGAAUUUUGGAAGUGUGGCCAUUUUCACUAUAUUGCUUCUUCCUACCCAAAGGCAUGGUGUAUUUCUCCAUUUUCUAACAUUCCCUUCAAUCUCCUUUUUCAGAGUACUGUAGUUUUCGAUGUAGAGGUCUUUGACAUCCUUUGUUAGAUUGAUUCCUAGUUAUUUCAUUGUUUUUGAUGCUAUUGUAAAAGGUAUUGUUUCUCUGAUUUCUCUCUCAGUGAGUUUGUUAUUCAUGUACAAGAUGGUUAUUAAUUUUUGAGUGUUGACUUUGUAGCCAGCUAUAUUACUGAAUUUGUUUAUUAAAUUUAGAAGUCUUUUGGUGGAGCUUUGGGGUCUUCUAAAUAGAGUAUAAUAUCAUCUGCAAAUAACUUCUUCCUUUCCUAUCUUUAUUCCUUUUAUUUCUUUCUCUUGCCUAAUUGCUCCAGCUAAGAUUUCCAGGACUACAUUGAAUAAAAGUGAAGACAGUGGACGUCCUUGUCUUGUUCCUGAUUUUAGGGAGAUAAUUUUCUGGGUUUUCCCAGUUAAUAUGAUGUUGGCUGUUGGUUUGUCAUAGAUAACUUUUAUCAGAUUGAGAUAAAGACCAUCUGUUCCAA